UGCACAGGUAGUCUUGAAUGUUUCAUUGC
rnacentral:piRNA from 1 species